AAAAAAAAAAAAAAAAAAAAAAAAACGCACUUGAAUUUUUAUUUUCCAAAGUCUUUUCUUCUUUCUCUUCAAUAUUUUCUAUUUUUUCUUCUAUUAUCUAUCCGCUGUAUCGCACGGGCUACUACAUUAGUUAUAAUAUAAGCUCGUAUAUUUUCCUCUUAUAUUUCUCAUCAUAUGCGUAGGCUCCGUUUAGGAUUAUAAAGAGAUAAUAUUACAUGAGGUGGAAAAAGUAUGAAAGAAAAAUAUUCGUACUGCUUCGGUGUCUAAAAUUACAUAGAAGCAUAUUUUUUCAUACUUUCAUCCCAACUCUAUUUAAUCUAUAAUAGUGUUAGAUGAUCCUCAAAUCAAAUGAACUCAUAAAAUAAUUUCCUUGCAAUUUCAAACGAAGGCUUAAUAGUUUUUUAAAAAUUUUAAAAGUAAUAUAUAAAUAAUAAA
rnacentral:lncRNA from 1 species